rnacentral:piRNA from 1 species
UGGUCUUAGGUGACCCCUG